GGGGCUGGGCUGAGGCGGGGCCGGGCCGCGGCUCCACAGGAAUGUCCGGAACUUACGAAGAGCCCCGGGAGCGCCGUGGGGCGUAGCCGCGGCUCGGUGGAGCCUUUGCGCUGUGCGGGAGCCGGGUGGUGCUGAGCCCCAGGCCUGGCAGGCUCCGGUGUGUCCUGUCCGGAAGAUCCUUAGUAGGGGUUCGGAGGUCAGAUGGCAAACAGGGGAAGUCACUUGAAUAAAGGAUAAAAAAUAGAGGAUAAAUUGGAGUCACUGGUGUACCCAGCUGUAGCCCUGCUAACAAGCAGCUGCAGUGGGAUCAGGUGUGUCUGAUUCUCAAAUUAGUCCCAGCAGGUGGGUUAGAAACUCAGCUCUGGGUACAAAAUUGCUUCAGUGUGUGCCUGUUGAUAAUAAACAGCUGUGUUAAAAAACAAGGUGUUCUUUUGGGGUCCUGUUUGCUGCCUUGCAGCUUGUUACAAUAACGAAAGACUUUGGGUUCAUUACAGGAGAUGCAUGUGCCAAUUAGCAGGCCAGUUAAUAGAGCAGACAGGGAGCUGUGCUUGCUGCUCCCCUGAGAACUCGGAGAAGGAGCCCCAGGGCUGCAGUGUCGGCAUCAGAGGCAGAGAUUCUUUCCCUGGUGGUCCCUGGAGAACAAUCCCAGCCUGUCCCAGCUGGAAGCACUGAGCCAGGCACUGCUGCAGCUUCUGGACCGGUUUCUCUCUGAGUUUGGGGAUUUGGAGCUUUGCCUGCACAGGAGCAGGAGGAAUUCCCUGUCCUCCUGCUUCGUGUGUGCCAGCCACGGAGACCCCGUCUCUUCUAUCACUUGCUGUCAGCAUUCAGCAUCGGUUCAGGAAGGAGCCCAAAACCCCACCUGGAGCUCCACGGGGCUGUUCUGGAACAGGCACAGAGCUGGAGAUCCAUCCUUUGUAGGGGAUAAUAAAUGGUAAUGCACUCCUUAGCAUUUCAAUGUCAUGAUUAAAUAUUCCAGAGCCUUAUUAAUUGAAUAUUUUAUAUUCCUGCAAAUGGCCUUGAUCCUCACAAUGGCAUACUAAUUCCAAGGGAAGGGAGAGGGAGCAUGUUCAGGUUCCUGCAAGGAAUCCCUGCAAACAAGGCUUUUGAACUGACAGCAUGAAUGGGUUCUAGGGCAAGUUGCUGUGCAUGAAGCAGGACCUGGAGGCAAUGUGGAUGUGUUUGCAUUUUGGAUUUAUGGGAUUCCAGAGUCACGUGGGUGGUUUGCUGCUGGUACUGCAAGAAGAAGCUCAGUAAUGGAUUAUCCCAGGGGAUUAAAAUUCUGUAGGUCUCAGUCACCAACCCAUCAAUGACACCAACGUGAUCAUUCUGGGCUGCAGAGAUGGACCUUUCUCCUCUUGGUUGAACUGAAGGAAAUUCCAGGCUCCUCCUCCCCUGAAGUCACAAAGAGUCGGAAGGUUUGCCAAAAGGGAACUCAUGGCUCUGGUCAAGAGAUGAGGAGGAGCAGCUGAGGGA